rnacentral:rRNA from 1 species
UGAACGCUGGCGGCAGGCUUAAGACAUGCAAGUCGAGCGGAAACGAUGGGAGCUUGCUCCCAGGCGUCGAGCGGCGGACGGGUGAGUAACGCGUAGGAAUCUGCCCAGUAGAGGGGGAUAGCCCGGGGAAACUCGGAUUAAUACCGCAUACGCCCUACGGGGGAAAGGCCGGGAUCUUCGGACCGGUCACUAUUGGAUGAGCCUGCGUAAGAUUAGCUUGUUGGUGGGGUAAAGGCCUACCAAGGCGACGAUCUUUAGCUGGUCUGAGAGGAUGAUCAGUCACACUGGAACUGAGACACGGUCCAGACUCCUACGGGAGGCAGCAGUCGGGAAUAUUGGACAAUGGGGGCAACCCUGAUCCAGCCAUGCCGCGUGUGUGAAGAAGGCCUUAGGGUUGUAAAGCACUUUCAGUAGUGAGGAAGGGUGCAAGGUUAAUAGCCUUUGUACAUUGACGUUAGCUACAGAAGCAGCACCGGCUAACUCC